rnacentral:rRNA from 1 species
UACGGGGGGGGCAAGCGUUGUUCGGAAUUACUGGGCGUAAAGGGCUCGUAGGUGGCCAACUAAGUCAUACGUGAAAUCCCUCAGCUUAACUGGGGAACUGCGUCUGAUACUGGUUGGCUUGAGUGCAGGAGAGGAACGCGGAAUUCCUGGUGUAGCGGUGAAAUGCGCAGAUAUCAGGAGGAACACCGGUGGCGAAGGCGGAUCUCUGGGCCUUAACUGACGCUGAGGCGCGAAAGCUAGGGGAGCGAACAGG